GGACAGCAGACGUAGACACAUCUCUCAGGCCAGGGAAAUAGAUGACCAGGCCAGCAAGGGAACCACGAUUCCAUGGUACAGACCAGCCAAUGGAGAGCGCACUGCGUGUGCUUAGUAAAAAUUUAUGGGCCUAGUCUGGCAGAUGGAAAAGUUGAGGGGAAGCCCAGUAGCGGCAUCAUUUGGCCAUUGUGAGCGGUCCUAUUUUUCACACCCUUCCUGGGGCUAGACUCCAAACGCGCUAUAGUUGGAAAAGUUUUGCAAAACCCUUUAAGUUAUUAAGUUAUGACGCACGCACACGAAGCAUUUGAUUUUUGACUGAUAGAUUUGUUGAAAAAGACGACAGAUACCCCGCUUUUCGUUUUACCCCUUGCAACAAAAUUGGACUUGGCUCAUCAACAUUACCCACCUGACAAGCGCAGGCAGUUCCCGAAGAAGGAUAUGUAAGGAACGGACUUUCCAGGAUACAAACCUGGUUGAAAUUAGUCGGUCGCUUAUCCCUCUGGACCAAUCACACUGAAGUUAGAUUGACGGGCCCAGAUUAUAAUGUUGGGUAUGUGGAUAGAAAACACGAAAUGUUCUUUAAAUGUAUUCAUUGGUUAAUACCCUAGAGUUCUUUCAAUGAAGUUUAGGCAAAGCAAAAGGAGACUUGGAGUAAGGCCAGGUCUAUAUUAACAUAAGAAACUUGAAUAAUAAUUUUAUUAAUAAUAUCUGCAAGCAAUUCCGGCCAGCCCUGUUUCGAUUUAAUUGCCCAUACCCCACAUCCUGCGGGAUUCUUUGUUAUAAAAAGUGGGCGAAUCGAAGGAAGGACACGUGGACAGAUGUCAAGCGCAGCAUCAAUGGGAGUCGCAAUACUGACGAAGAAAAGGCCAGGGGCUGUGGAAAACUGUGGAAAAGCGGUGUGGUGGGCGCAGAUCGAACCUUUUGUGGCACUCUGGCAGGCGGUAGUUUCCACAUCAAUUAGAUGAUGUUUACUGCAUUUGCUACAAAUUGACAAACUCGUCGAAGGCACAAAGGGAUUUUCCUACUUGCUCCCUCGGCCAAUAACCACACAAAAGGCAAUGAAAAUGUAUAAAAAAUAUGUAAAGCAAAGACAGCGGAGUCGAGGGAAGUCAGGGAAAAGCCAAAAUGAAAAUUCAAAGACAAAGAAAAUGUGCCAGAGCAGAGACAGAAAUUGUUGCUGCUUUUGGUUUGCGGCUAUGUUCAAUUCUGUUGACGUUAUCAAAAGUUGCGGCACAAAUAACAAAAACAAGACGAAGCAGCCAGACGUUAUAUAUAUGUAUUUGUAUAAAUAUGAAAAACGUAGUAAAGGAAGAAAAGGAUACAAGUAAUUUGCCAAGGGCAAUGUGGGCACAGCGGAAGUUAACAUUGAAAAGGAUUACGGCGUGCCAGAGACUCGUCUUUUGUGACCAACUCUCCCUUUCUCCAUUUCUCCGAUUUUCCGACCUCCUUCCCAACUUUCUCCGUCCGUAUCUGUGAGUCUCUGUCUCUGUGUGUUGACAACAACCAGUUGGCAUUGCCAGCUAUUGGCCCAUUUGUCCUGGCCCCUUGGGUCCUUUGGCUGCCACUGUCUUCGUCGCUGUUUCCCUCGGCAGGCGAAGG